CGGGCCAUAGUAUAGCGGUAAUACACACCCUUGGGGUGGGUGAGUCGGCGGUUCAACUCCGCCUGGCCCGACCA
rnacentral:tRNA from 1 species